AUGGUACUUCCUCUGUCCGGAAUUACUUGUCACAAAAAUGGAUGUAUCUAGACGUGUUUUAGUUGUAGAUACAUCCAUUUAUGCAAUAAGUAUUGCGGACGGAGGGAGUAGUUA
rnacentral:pre_miRNA from 1 species